AAGUAAAGAAGUAAAAUACAAUUAAUUUCGACUUAAAAUUAGGGAUAAAUCCCUAUACUUA
rnacentral:tRNA from 1 species